UACGUAGGGGGCAAGCGUUGUCCGGAUUUAUUGGGCGUAAAGAGCGUGUAGGCGGCCAGACAGGUCCGUUGUGAAAACUCGAGGCUCAACCUCGGGACGCCGAUGGAAACCGUUUGGCUAGAGUCCGGAAGAGGAGAGUGGAAUUCCUGGUGUAGCGGUGAAAUGCGCAGAUAUCAGGAAGAACACCCGUGGCUAAGGCGGCUCUCUAGUACGGUACUGACGCUGAGACGCGAAAGCGUGGGGAGCGAACAGG
rnacentral:rRNA from 1 species